rnacentral:rRNA from 2 species
GGGUUGGGGGGCGGGGGCGUUUAUAUAUAUGGGGUUUCCCCCGUCAGGAUGAACGCUGGCGGCGUGCCUAAUACAUGCAAGUCGAGCGAACUGAUUAGAAGCUUGCUUCUAUGACGUUAGCGGCGGACGGGUGAGUAACACGUGGGCAACCUGCCUGUAAGACUGGGAUAACUCCGGGAAACCGGAGCUAAUACCGGAUAACAUUUUCUCUUGCAUAAGAGAAAAUUGAAAGAUGGUUUCGGCUAUCACUUACAGAUGGGCCCGCGGUGCAUUAGCUAGUUGGUGAGGUAACGGCUCACCAAGGCAACGAUGCAUAGCCGACCUGAGAGGGUGAUCGGCCACACUGGGACUGAGACACGGCCCAGACUCCUACGGGAGGCAGCAGUAGGGAAUCUUCCGCAAUGGACGAAAGUCUGACGGAGCAACGCCGCGUGAGUGAUGAAGGCUUUCGGGUCGUAAAACUCUGUUGUUAGGGAAGAACAAGUACAAGAGUAACUGCUUGUACCUUGACGGUACCUAACCAGAAAGCCACGGCUAACUACGUGCCAGCAGCCGCGGUAAUACGUAGGGGACAAACGUUAUCCGGAAUAAUGCGGCGUAAAGCGCGCGCAGGCGGUUUCUUAAGUCUGAUGUGAAAGCCCACGGCUCAACCGUGGAGGGUCAUUGGAAACUGGGGAACUUGAGUGCAGAAGAGAAAAGCGGAAUUCCACGUGUAGCGGUGAAAUGCGUAGAGAUGUGGAGGAACACCAGUGGCGAAGGCGGCUUUUUGGUCUGUAACUGACGCUGAGGCGCGAAAGAACGCCCAGCAAACAGGAUUAGAUACCCUGGUAGUCCACGCCGUAAACGAUGAGUGCUAAGUGUUAGAGGGUUUCCGCCCUUUAGUGCUGCAGCUAACGCAUUAAGCACUCCGCCUGGGGAGUACGGUCGCAAGACUGAAACUCAAAGGAAUUGACGGGGGCCCGCACAAGCGGUGGAGCAUGUGGUUUAAUUCGAAGCAACGCGAAGAACCUUACCAGGUCUUGACAUCCUCUGACAACUCUAGAGAUAGAGCGUUCCCCUUCGGGGGACAGAGUGACAGGUGGUGCAUGGUUGUCGUCAGCUCGUGUCGUGAGAUGUUGGGUUAAGUCCCGCAACGAGCGCAACCCUUGAUCUUAGUUGCCAGCAUUAAGUUGGGCACUCUAAGGUGACUGCCGGUGACAAACCGGAGGAAGGUGGGGAUGACGUCAAAUCAUCAUGCCCCUUAUGACCUGGGCUACACACGUGCUACAAUGGAUGGUACAAAGGGCUGCAAGACCGCGAGGUCAAGCCAAUCCCAUAAAACCAUUCUCAGUUCGGAUUGUAGGCUGCAACUCGCCUACAUGAAGCUGGAAUCGCUAGUAAUCGCGGAUCAGCAUGCCGCGGUUGAAUACGUUCCCGGGCCUUGUACACACCGCCCGUCACACCACGAGAGUUUGUAACACCCGAAGUCGGGUGGGGUAACCUUUAUGGAGCCAGCCGCCUAAGGUGGGACAGAUGAUUGGGUGACUACAACCAGCCCGCCCCCCGAAAAAAAAAAAAAAAAAGAAAGCGGCAAUAAUCG